rnacentral:rRNA from 1 species
GUAAUGUCUGGGAAACUGCCUGAUGGAGGGGGAUAACUACUGGAAACGGUGGCUAAUACCGCAUAACGUCGCAAGACCAAAGAGGGGGACCUUCGGGCCUCUUGCCAUCAGAUGUGCCCAGAUGGGAUUAGCUUGUUGGUGAGGUAACGGCUCACCAAGGCGACGAUCCCUAGCUGGUCUGAGAGGAUGACCAGCCACACUGGAACUGAGACACGGUCCAGACUCCUACGGGAGGCAGCAGUGGGGAAUAUUGCACAAUGGGCGCAAGCCUGAUGCAGCCAUGCCGCGUGUAUGAAGAAGGCCUUCGGGUUGUAAAGUACUUUCAGCGGGGAGGAAGGUGUUGUGGUUAAUAACCGCAGCAAUUGACGUUACCCGCAGAAGAAGCACCGGCUAACUCCGUGCCAGCAGCCGCGGUAAUACGGAGGGUGCAAGCGUUAAUCGGAAUUACUGGGCGUAAAGCGCACGCAGGCGGUCUGUCAAGUCGGAUGUGAAAUCCCCGGGCUCAACCUGGGAACUGCAUUCGAAACUGGCAGGCUUGAGUCUUGUAGAGGGGGGUAGAAUUCCAGGUGUAGCGGUGAAAUGCGUAGAGAUCUGGAGGAAUACCGGUGGCGAAGGCGGCCCCCUGGACAAAGACUGACGCUCAGGUGCGAAAGCGUGGGGAGCAAACAGGAUUAGAUACCCUGGUAGUCCACGCCGUAAACGAUGUCUACUUGGAGGUUGUGCCCUUGAGGCGUGGCUUCCGGAGCUAACGCGUUAAGUAGACCGCCUGGGGAGUACGGCCGCAAGGUUAAAACUCAAAUGAAUUGACGGGGGCCCGCACAAGCGGUGGAGCAUGUGGUUUAAUUCGAUGCAACGCGAAGAACCUUACCUGGUCUUGACAUCCACGGAAGAAUUCAGAGAUGGAUUUGUGCCUUCGGGAACCGUGAGACAGGUGCUGCAUGGCUGUCGUCAGCUCGUGUUGUGAAAUGUUGGGUUAAGUCCCGCAACGAGCGCAACCCUUAUCCUUUGUUGCCAGCGGUCCGGCCGGGAACU